AAUUUUUACAAAUCGAACAGAUUUACUUAUUUAACUUUUGCGUUAAAAUGAAAAAUAGGAAAAUUAAGUCAACAUCGAGGUCGCAAUCUAAAUUUUUAAUAAGAGCUUAAGAAUAUUAUUACGCUGUUAUCCCUAUAGUAACUUGUUUUAAAUUAAUUUUAUUAGAUUUAUUUUUAUAAAAAUAUAUUAAAAUUAUUAUUAAUUAACUUCCCCAGUUUAACUAAAGUUAAGUUUAAUAGGGUCUUGUCGUCUUUUUAAUAUAUAAGAAUAUUUUUAUUAUUAAAACAAUUUUUAUUUAUUAAAUAUUAAAGAUAAUUUGAAAUGUGAAAUCUUUUGUUCUGGUCUUCAAUUAAAAGACAAAUUAUUAUACUACCUUAGCACGAAUUGCGGCUAUUUAAUAUCAUUGAGCAGAUUUUACUAUUAAUUAUUACUAAUAGAA
rnacentral:rRNA from 1 species